rnacentral:rRNA from 1 species
GGAGCUUGGAAGGCUUCCGCAGCAACGGUGCAUCAUACGUGGUGUACUUAAGACCUUGAGUGUGGCUCGUCAGGCGUAGCAUUGAGUUUGCCAGGUCUAGCUGUCGUGCGGAGGGUUCGUCCUGGAGGACUUCGGUUUCGGCCGGAGGGCUCUUCGGGUCGUCCCUUUUUGAAUGGACGUUCAGAACCUCUUGUGUCUAAUGCGGUUGUGCCCACCACAGCACGUUGUGAGGUCACCCACAGGCUCAAACUGCCGAUCGCGUAUCACGGACGAUGGCAACGAUGCGUUGUCGAUGAUGGCUCGAAAGAGACUUCACUCACACGCGUGUCUAGUCCUGGGUCGGGCGGCGACCGAGAUAAACCUGGUAUGAUCCUCUAGCGACGAGCUGCUUUCUGGCCAGACCGACGCCCGGACGCCUCCACUGUGCCGGAAGCGUCAACCCCAGGCGGUGUGAACCCAGCUGCAUUAUGCAAGGUCUCUCAGCCGGGCGUUGGUCUGAGUGGUGUUAAGUCCAGCACCAUCGGUCACGUCUCGAAACACGGGCCAAGGAGUAUAGCAUGUGUGCAAGUCUAAGGGUCUCACAAAACCCGAAGGCGAAGUGAAAGCAAGACUGUGGCGGGGGAGCUACGGCAAACCCGCCGGCCUAGUGACGCUUGCGUUGCUGGCUUUAAGCAGAGCUGAUCCUGUUUUCUCGGUUAAAUCUUGGUGCAGGCGCAAGCUCCGGGCUCACGUACAACACUGGUCACGCCUCGCG